UACGUAGGGACCAAGCGUUGUUCGGAUUUACUGGGCGUAAAGGGCGUGCAGGCGGUCUGUUAAGUUCAGGGUGAAAGCUCCCGGCUCAACUGGGAGAGGUCCUUGGAUACUGGCAGACUUGAGGGAGGUAGAGGAGAGUGGAAUUCCCGGUGUAGUGGUGAUAUGCGUAGAUAUCGGGAGGAACACCAGUGGCGAAGGCGGCUCUCUGGGCCUUUCCUGACGCUGAGACGCGAAAGCGUGGGGAGCGAACAGG
rnacentral:rRNA from 1 species